rnacentral:snoRNA from 1 species
AUUCCACUAUGUUGGCACUUUUGAACUAACUCCUUAAACCUCUCUCAUGCUUUAAACACAGUUUCAAUCUCGUUCUGGUAGAAGUUAUGGAUUUCUCAUCUAAACUU